rnacentral:rRNA from 1 species
UACGGGAGGCAGCAGUAGGGAAUCUUCCGCAAUGGACGAAAGUCUGACGGAGCAACGCCGCGUGAACGAUGAAGGCCUUCGGGUCGUAAAGUUCUGUUGUCAGGGAAGAACAAGUACCGGAGUAACUGCCGGUACCUUGACGGUACCUGACCAGAAAGCCACGGCUAACUACGUGCCAGCAGCCGCGGUAAU